rnacentral:rRNA from 1 species
GUGAGGAAUAUUGGACAAUGGGCGCAAGCCUGAUCCAGCCAUGCCGCGUGCAGGAAGACGCAUCUAUGGUGUGUAAACUGCUUUUGUACGGGAAGAAACACUCCCUCGUGAGGGAGCUUGACGGUACCGUAAGAAUAAGGAUCGGCUAACUCCGUGCCAGCAGCCGCGGUAAUACGGAGGAUCCAAGCGUUAUCCGGAAUCAUUGGGUUUAAAGGGUCCGUAGGCGGUUUAAUAAGUCAGUGGUGAAAGCCCAUCGCUCAACGAUGGAACGGCCAUUGAUACUGUUAGACUUGAAUUACAAGGAAGUAACUAGAAUAUGUAGUGUAGCGGUGAAAUGCUUAGAUAUUACAUGGAAUACCAAUUGCGAAGGCAGGUUACUACUUGUGGAUUGACGCUGAUGGACGAAAGCGUGGGGAGCAAACAGGAUUAGAAACCCCUGUAGUCC